CCCUUAGAUGUUCUAGGCCGCACGCGCGCUACACUGACGAAGUCAGCGAGCAUGUCCUACGCCGACAGGUGCGGGGAAUCUUGUCAAACUUCGUCGUGAUGGGGAUUGAUUAUUGAAAUUCUUGAUCAUCAACGAGGAAUUCCUAGUAAGCGCAAGUCAGCAGCUUGCGUUGAUUACGUCCCUGCCCUUUGUACACACCGCCCGUCGCUACUACCGAUUGAAUGGUUUAGUGAGAUCUUCGGAUUGGCGCCACUGCGGCUCAGCAAUGGGCUCGGUGGAUGCCGAAAAGUUGAUCAAACUUGAUCAUUUAGAGGAAGUAAAAGUCGUAACA
rnacentral:rRNA from 1 species